AUACGGAGGGUGCAAGCGUUACUCGGAAUCACUGGGCGUAAAGCGCGCGCAGGCGGUCUUUUAAGUUGGAUGUGAAUGCCUACGGCUCAACCGUAGAACUGCAUCCAAAACUAUUAGACUAGAGUGUGGGAGAGGAAGAUGGAAUUAGUUGUGUAGGGGUAAAAUCCGUAGAGAUAACUAGGAAUACCAAAAGCGAAGGCAAUCUUCUGGAACACUACUGACGCUGAGGCGCGAAAGCGUGGGGAGCAAACAGGAUUAGAUACCCUAGUAGUCC
rnacentral:rRNA from 1 species